GAAAGCAGUUGAUGACAAAGCAGCGGACCCACCAGUUCAAGCCACUAAUGGACAAAUGCUCCCUGUGGAGAACAAGAUCAUUUGAAGCGCUGUGGUCCACUCUCGGUAUUACGCUGCCUGACUGCCUGUCUGGGUUUCAACCAUGGUGUCAACCAGAUCUGCGGCUGACGUAAUGGGGGCAGACAACCACAAAAUAUCCUCCCCAAAGCAUCCUCCCUACUUCAAAGGCGAGUCCUUCGAAGUCCACACAAGCCGAACUGAUCAUUUUGAAAUGGGACGAUCUAGCCCAGGGCUUCUCAAAGUCUGGACUCCGGUCCAGAUAUGGACCGCAAGGGUAUUCAAUCCGGACCGACUCCAUUUCGUUUAGCAAAACCAUUUGUAAAGGAUUCAAAUGAUGGAUUUCCUUCAUUGAUAAAUGCAUGAACCUUGUAAAUCAACCGUUUGUUGGUUUUUGUCUGAAAAAUACGGGCUGAAAUAAAAUCGAAGGCAAAAUACUGAAAGUUU